rnacentral:misc_RNA from 1 species
AAAAAUUCGCAGAAUUACGAAGAACUGACAACAUAUUUGAAACAGAUAAUAUGGACUGUUAUCUAAAAGAUCGAGAUAGACUCCAGUUGUCAUCAUGGCUUGGAAAAGAAUGCCAUUUCAAACUUCUUUAUAAAAUUAGCCGAGACGGUGGAUCACCUCAAACAUUCCACUAUCUAUGUGACAACAAGGGACCCACGGUGACCAUCUUCUACAACACGGACAAUAACGUGUACGGAGGAUACCUCUCCGAGAGUUGGCUAAGUUCCGGAGGCUGGAUAACAGACAGAUCGUCGUUUCUGUUUCAGUUUUACAGCAACAGUGAAUGGAAACCCAAUAAGAUACCGCUAAAAAUCCGAGAACAAAAUGUUUUAUUUUACGAAUCAAAUGGACCAACUUUCGAGAAUUUGCCUUCAUUUGAAGGUAACAUUGAAAAAACCUCAAAUCGCUUUGAAAUGAGUACAAAGGGUCUCUUUAGCGGUAGCUACUAUAACACCGGAUUGAAGAAUGCUCAGUCGAUUGCAAACGGUCACAACAACUUGACAGACCUGGAAGUUUACCUGGUGAAAGAUGGUCCUGCGGAGCCUUGGCGAGAACCCCCAAUUUGGAAAUCAGAGACGCUUGACAGUCUGAAAGAAUUCAUCAGGUCCUUUCAACCUAAGGAAGAGUUGAAUGUUCCGGAAGUAAACAUUCUCCUCGUCGGUCAGGUGGGCGCGGGAAAAUCCAGUGUCGUCAACACAAUCAACUCCAUUUGGAAAGGAGAGAUUUCUACCAGAUCCUGGGCUGGAAGUUCCGAGCACAGUUUAACAACAAGUUUUACUAAGUUUCGGAUAUCCGACCCUUCUACCGGAACACAUUUAAAAUUCCGGUUAUGUGAUAUGAGAGGAUUGGAAGAGACCAUGGAUGUAAAAUUAGAGGAUAUAGCAUUUCUUCUGGACGGAAAUCUUCCUAACAAAUACAAGUUUAAUCCUGUUGCUCGUGCCACCAAGGACACCCCUGGAUUUAUAAAAGACCCCACGAUGAAAGACAUGAUACACACAGUAGUAUUUGUGAUUGACGGCAGCAAUGUUGAGGUGAUGCCAGACGGGAUUAUUAAGAAGCUAAAGGAUAUAAAGGAUAUGCUGAUCGAUAGAGGUCGGACAGCGAAAAUAAGCACACAGAGAGAGAGAGAGAGAGAGAGAGAGAGAGAGAGUUUAUGUAAUUUAACUAUUCAUUUUAAAACCAGAGUGGUUUGGAUGUGAGUUAAAAAGUUAAACGUAUUUUUUUCUUUUGAUUUCAAAUAUUUUAAACAAUCCGUAAUAAACAUCUGCUUAAGAUAACAAAGGUGAAAACAUAUUUAUAACUUUAUUUUUUGUUGCAUUUUCUAUGCAUAUGUUAAGUACAUUUUAAAAUUGAUAAAAAAAAAAAGAAUUAUAAACAAGGCAUGUUUUCAAUUUAAAUUUUUCUCAUAUUUAAAUAUGCACGUUAGAACAUAUUAUACAAACAUUGAAUUUUACAUGUUGUACCUGUGCAAAAUUUUUUUCAAAAAACCUUCAAUUCAGAAACUAUAUUGAUAGUACUAUUUUGCCAUGUAGCUGUUACAAGAACUUUUAUUCCAUAUUUUCUUUGUUUAACUAAUUUGUAUUUAUGUAUUUUGUGAUUGUAGAUGUUCCUGUUUUGGUGCUUGUUACGAAGAUUGACAAGGUUUGUAAUGAUGUCGACAAAGAUGUCGAAGAAGUUUACUUUAGCAACGCUGUGAAGAAAACUGUCGAUAAAGUGUCGGAUGUUAUUGCUAUCCCACGAUCCCACGUACUUCCGGUAAAGAAUUACGAAAAAGAGAGGACUCUGCAGAACAACAUAAGUAUACUCGCCAUGGAAGCUUUAAAACAGGCUCUUCUGUUCUGUCAAGAUUUUCUGGAAAACCAAUCUUAAACAAAAAAGUACUUUUUUGUGAAAUAGCCAAAUGUUAUAGUAUUAUUCAUGACAGUGUUCGUUGUCAGUUAGUUAAUUAAAUUCACUGAUGAAUAGCAUGCUUAAAUCUUAAUAAAGUUUGUUUAUGAU